UCUCCGUUUGUGAACCAGCGGAGGGAUCAUUACCGAGUUUACAACUCCCAAACCCAAUGUGAACCAUACCAAACUGUUGCCUCGGCGGGGUCACGCCCCGGGUGCGUCGCAGCCCCGGAACCAGGCGCCCGCCGGAGGGACCAACCAAACUCUUUCUGUAGUCCCCUCGCGGACGUUAUUUUUACAGCUCUGAGCAAAAAUUCAAAAUGAAUCAAAACUUUCAACAACGGAUCUCUUGGUUCUG
rnacentral:misc_RNA from 1 species